UGAUUUCGAAUAGAUAGUUUAUAGUGUUAUCCGGUGGUUAUCUUGUUUUUUUUUUUUUUUUGUAUUAGCUAGUAGUGCGUUAUCUCUUUUUGUUGUGUGCUUUUGUGUCUUGUGUUUGUUAUUCUGUUAUCUAUCCUGAACUGAGGGUCUAUCGGAAACAAGAUCUCUACUUCAUUUGAGAUAGUGAUAUGAUCUGUGUACACACUAUCCUCUCCAGAACCCACUAUAUGUGAGAUGAGGUAGUGAUGUGAUCUAUGUACACACUAUCCUCUCCAGAACCCACUAUAUGUGAGAUGAGGUAGUGAUGUGAUCUAUGUACACACUAUCCUCUCCAGAACCCACUAUAUGUGAGAUGAGGUAGUGAU
rnacentral:lncRNA from 1 species